rnacentral:tRNA from 1 species
UGGGGUGUGGCUCAGUGGUAAAGUGCUUGCCUCCCAUGUAGGGGGCACUGGGUUCCAUCCUCAGCACCACAU